UUGUGAUAUGGUUUUCAUUUAUAAGUAACAUUUAUUUAUCAAAUAUAUCUUUUUCUUAUUUGUUUAUAGAGUAUGCAUUUGUUUAUAACCAUAUUUACUGUUAACUAUAGAACAAGGGCCUAUUCAUGAUUUUUAUGCGUGUGUUUUGUUUAGGUUUUAAGUAUCGGGUGACAGGAAACGUUCCAAGACCACUCAAACGGUGGAGGCACCUGAGGCCACUGAGGACAUAACACACGCCCUAUCCAUGGAGAAUAGAGACAAGGAGCCCGAACUUAUGCUUUAUGAAUAGCAUGGAAGACGAGGCGCCGGCGAGGAGUUCUAUUAUAGAUGUCACCCUCGUAGCGUGGGCUAUAAUGAUCGUGGAGAGGGAGAAAAAUAAUUUUGAACACUUUCGUUGCACAGAGUGUCGGUUAGUUUAGGCGAAACUGCCUCUUGGACGGGUGGGUUGUGUUUUUUUCAUUUUUAUUAUUAUACAUUAAGCUAAGAUAAUCCCGAUUAUGUACGGCUCAAUCGAACCGCUUAUAUCAAUUACUGAAAAUUUAUUACAUUGCAAUAUCAAUGAGAAUUUAUACACUUUUCAACAAUUAAUUGAGGAUGUAGAUAAUAUUCCGAAACCAUCGAAAACUUGGUUUAUCUUCAAAUUCGAAAAACUCUUACUGUUCAUGGAAAUAUUACCUAAUAUAUAUAGUGAACGGAAAAAAAUUAUUAUCACUGAUUCAAUGGAAGUGAAAUAUUACUAUAAAACUAAACCAAUUACUUGGCUUAAGAGUGGAGAAAUAAGUAGCAUCGAAGAUGUUAAGCGAGUAAUCGACCUAUACGAUUUUCUUGUAUUUCCUGAAAAUUUAGUUGACUAACAGUAAUCUUACUGAACAUAUCGAUAAUUUGUCGAUAUUAAAUUUGAAUUGUACAUUUGAAAAGAUUUUUAGCAGAUUGUUCUGGGAACCAAAAUUCACGUUAAAAAAAAAAAAAAAAAAAUUGUACAAAUAUUUUUAACCGUAAUGCAAAAUGGAAGACAUGAUAAAAAUAACAAUAAUCAGACUAAUAAUAAUAAUAAUAAUAAUAAUAGUUUAAUCAGGAAACUAAUAUUAUAUUGCUGAUAUGCAUGUAAUAUUCAUAAACAAUUUGUAAUAAUGGAAUCUUUUUUAUAAAAAAUAUAUGCGCAUACAUAUGGACUGUAGCAUUUCAAUCUUAU